UUACUGUGGAAAAACCUAAGCCCAUCAAGGAGAGCCAAAUCCGCAGCCCUUUGGUGGCAGACCGCAUCCUCAGCAUACUCCAAGAAGCAGCACUAGUAAGCAUGAGAGCAUUUAUCCAAUUCUUCUUUAAGAGCUCCCUGCGGCUAAUAAGUUAGUGGGCCCUAAUGUGGAACACGCUAGCCGGGAAGGAAAGAAGGAAGGAAGGAUAGGAGUCUUAAAUCACGGCCCGGCUGACAAGAGUGACAUAUGCUCUCGCUCCCUCCACGAGAAGAGCAACAGACCCCAACUGCCAGAUGUGACAGGGAUGGCGACGCUACGCUCACGUUGUGAUUCCCAAGCAGUGUGCUGUGGUGCAUAGGUGUGCUGUGAGAGAUCAACAGGUGUGACGUUUGGCUUUUCCUUAUCAGGGUGAAGGCAGUGGCAGCCUGAUGCCAGACAGGCUGCUGCCAGGACACAGUAAUCGCCGUGAUGACAGAACGCGGGAUAAAAAGCCAUCAGAUUUAUUUCGCCGGUCCUCCUGAGGGACGGGAUUAGUGGACAUCGACAGGGCCGGGAUUUCAUCCCUCAAAGGAGGGCAAUUAAUCCUGCGCUGCCACAUCCAAACACCGGGAAAACCUUGGAAAACCGAGCGCGGGAAGGCCAAUCGCAUCCUUUUAUCCAACAGAUUUCCAGCGUGACUGUUUAAUAAACUGCAUCAGAUGUUUUCCAGGAAGCAUGAAACAGAUGCCCUACUCAUAUACUAGAUUACAUUAAGACGCAUUAUUAGAUCAGGCACACUGGCGCACACCCACGCCAACCGUCUAAUUAAAAGUGGGUCUUUUUGCGAGCAUGACCAAGCAACUGGCACGCGCACCUCUUUGACAAGCCAUUACGCUAUACGUGUUGCUACAUACGCCGCUAAUCCUCAUACGUAAAACCCGUCGUAUGUUUUACUGUCACCAUCGCACACCGGCAGAUUAGCCGCACGCAAGCUAGUAGCACAGGAUGUGAGGGAGUGAGGAAGACAAGGAGGAGGGGGGAGCGAAGAAGGAGGCAGACUUUAGCCGCUCACCCCAUGAUGAGGCUGUUGAUGUAGUCAUUCCCGUCCAUGUGGCCAAACUGGAAGUCUCUGUGGACACAAGGCCACAUUAAUUAAGUGCGGCUUAAGUUUAUGUUUAAACACAGAGACACACACACACAAAAGUAAACUUCCUGUCCCGGCGGAAUGCAAACAAACUUCUCCUCCAUUCGCAUGAUCCGGCUGGGAAAAAGCCACUGACUGUUUUCAGGAAUAAAGCAUCACAACGGCGGCAGGGUCCAAGUUUAGCAAACCGAGCCCAACCUUUCCUGGUGGAUGAUCUCCACUGGAGGAGGAUUCUGGCCGCUUACUUCAACUUUUCCUUCCCUGAGGAAAUAAAUCCAUAAACCGGGAUACCCACUGAAGGCGCGUUUAUUAUCAGAUCGGCUCAGUGGUUCUCGAGGUGAAGGCUUUUAAAAUUGAAUCUCACAGGCCUUUAAGGAGGAGGGCGGCGGCGGGGACGGGGGGGUAUGCAAUCGGGAACCUACAGGAGCAGUGAUAUUUAAGGUAAGAGCCCACAAGCAAUAACUCGGAAAGGGCUCAGCUUUUGGUACGUCUUUAUUCCAAACAUACAUGACUACUGGCAGCACACAGUCAUUAUUUUGAACUGAAAACAUGUUUGUUUCAAUGUGAUCUUUAAAGGUUGCAUAUUAUGGAGAAAAAUGACUAUUUAACUGCAUGUAUACAAACAGUUGGAUUUUGUGUCUGUAAGUGAGCACCACUGUGAUGUAACAGUGGGGGAAAACUGACAUAAAGUCACCGCCACAGUUUCUCUGCUUAUUACCUGGUGCGUCACCACCAGAGGGGACAGCGACUGCCAGAGCACACGGAAACACUACAUUAAUUGACAAUUGCAAUUCGCCGCCUUGGUUACCAUUUGCCACCACCUCAAGUGAAAAUACAGUCGACACCGCUACGUUGCGCACGCAGUUUUAAGACUCAACAAGUAGCUCCACCCCUGGUCAUCAUGGUAGCAUUGGCCCGGCAGAAGAGGGAGGCGGGAUGAGGGGGUGGCUCAUUUGGAUGAGAAAGGACCACCCCCUCAUAACAGGCUAAUUUGAGCCAGGCAAGGGAAAAAGAAAAAGUCUAAAGUGCCUAAAAGUGUUAGGGGGGGAAAGCAAGUCACAGACAUGCUAUUAAAUUGUAAGGGGGGAAUCUGUCAUAUGUCUCCUUUGAAAAGCUUUCGAGUGACAGCAAAAAGAGCAGCAAUAUUUGGGACCUAGCAUACUCCAUCAUUACCUCUUUGAAUGAAGCACAAUGAAAAAUAGCCACGCCGUCUUUGAAUAAACCAACAAAUUGG